AUUGAACGCUGGCGGCAGGCCUAACACAUGCAAGUCGAACGAGUGGCGGACGGGUGAGUAAUGUCUGGGAAACUGCCUGAUGGAGGGGGAUCACUACUGGAAACGGUAGCUAAUACCGCAUACCAUCGGAUGUGCCCAGAUGGGAUUAGCUAGUAGGUGGGGUAAAGGCUCACCUAGGCGACGAUCCCUAGCUGGUCUGAGAGGAUGAACGGAAACACGGGAACUGAGACACGGUCCAGACUCCUACGGGAGGCAGCAGUGGGGAAUAUUGCACAAUGGGCGAAAGCCUGAUGCAGCCAUGCCGCGUGUAGGAAGAAGGCCUUCGGGUUGUAAAGUAAUUGCAGCGGGGAGGCGUUAACCGCAGAAGAAGCACCGGCUAACUCCGUGCCAGCAGCCGCGGUAAUUC
rnacentral:rRNA from 1 species